UCCAAUGUAGCAUCGAGGAU
rnacentral:snRNA from 1 species